rnacentral:rRNA from 1 species
CUCAGCCGCCAUAUCACCCUGUAGCCCAAGACUGGUUGCCCACUGAAGCUAAGCAGGGUUGAGCUAGUCAGUACCUGGAUGGGAGACCUCCUGGGAAAACUAGGUUGCUGCUGGAA